GACGAACGCUGGCGGCGUGCUUAACACAUGCAAGUCGAACGGAAAGGCCCUGCUUUUGUGGGGUGCUCGAGUGGCGAACGGGUGAGUAACACGUGAGUAACCUGCCCUUGACUUUGGGAUAACUUCAGGAAACUGGGGCUAAUACCGGAUAGGAGCUCCUGCUGCAUGGUGGGGGUUGGAAAGUUUCGGCGGUUGGGGAUGGACUCGCGGCUUAUCAGCUUGUUGGUGGGGUAGUGGCUUACCAAGGCUUUGACGGGUAGCCGGCCUGAGAGGGUGACCGGCCACAUUGGGACUGAGAUACGGCCCAGACUCCUACGGGAGGCAGCAGUGGGGAAUAUUGCACAAUGGGCGGAAGCCUGAUGCAGCAACGCCGCGUGCGGGAUGACGGCCUUCGGGUUGUAAACCGCUUUCGCCUGUGACGAAGCGUGAGUGACGGUAAUGGGUAAAGAAGCACCGGCUAACUACGUGCCAGCAGCCGCGGUGAUACGUAGGGUGCGAGCGUUGUCCGGAUUUAUUGGGCGUAAAGGGCUCGUAGGUGGUUGAUCGCGUCGGAAGUGUAAUCUUGGGGCUUAACCCUGAGCGUGCUUUCGAUACGGGUUGACUUGAGGAAGGUAGGGGAGAAUGGAAUUCCUGGUGGAGCGGUGGAAUGCGCAGAUAUCAGGAGGAACACCAGUGGCGAAGGCGGUUCUCUGGGCCUUUCCUGACGCUGAGGAGCGAAAGCGUGGGGAGCGAACAGGCUUAGAUACCCUGGUAGUCCACGCUGUAAACGGUGGGUACUAGGUGUGGGGUCCAUUCCACGGGUUCCGUGCCGUAGCUAACGCUUUAAGUACCCCGCCUGGGGAGUACGGCCGCAAGGCUAAAACUCAAAGGAAUUGACGGGGCCCCGCACAAGCGGCGGAGCAUGCGGAUUAAUUCGAUGCAACGCGUAGAACCUUACCUGGGUUUGACAUGGAUCGGGAGCGCUCAGAGAUGGGUGUGCCUCUUUUGGGGUCGGUUCACAGGUGGUGCAUGGCUGUCGUCAGCUCGUGUCGUGAGAUGUUGGGUUAAGUCCCGCAACGAGCGCAACCCUUGUUCACUGUUGCCAGCACGUUAUGGUGGGGACUCAGUGGAGACCGCCGGGGUCAACUCGGAGGAAGGUGGGGAUGACGUCAAGUCAUCAUGCCCCUUAUGUCCAGGGCUUCACGCAUGCUACAAUGGCUGGUACAGAGAGUGGCGAGCCUGUGAGGGUGAGCGAAUCUCGGAAAGCCGGUCCCAGUUCGGAUUGGGGUCUGCAACUCGACCUCAUGAAGUCGGAGUCGCUAGUAAUCGCAGAUCAGCAACGCUGCGGUGAAUACGUUCCCGGG
rnacentral:rRNA from 1 species